rnacentral:sRNA from 1 species
GGCGGCUACCGCCUUUACCGGGGGAAGCGGUCAGGCCCGGAAGGGAGCAGCCUAACCCCGGACGCCCGGCGUUCGCGGGGCCACCGGGG